GACACAGAGGUAGCCCAGGGGCUCGAGUGUGUUCUGGUGUUCCAGAGGGGGCAGCAGUGACCACUGUGCACCCCAGAAGAAGCCCAGAUUUCUAAUGGCAGUGUGGCUGCUUAAAAUCCCAUGACCACCAGUCUACCAUCCUAAUCUCAGAUGAGAACAUGUUCUGGCCCUGCCCACUCGAUGCCACAACCUAGCAAUAGAUCUGUAGUGACCACAACAGGGAAGAAGAUGUGAAUGUGGGUUGUGUCCUCUUUGAUCUGCACUGCAGAUGCCUACAAAGGCAGUGCAUGGGACCUCUGUAAGUAUAUGAGUCCCACUUGCUCCAUCAUUACCCUCCUUUGGGGGCAAAGGCCCCAAUGCAGGGAGAAGGAAAAACACACACGUAAAUGAAAAGAACUAGCUUAAGCCAGAUACUCAUUCUUCUGCUCCAGCACCUUGGGAGCAGACACCAUCCCUGAGAGGGUGGAGGUGGCCACUGAGCAGAGAGGAAAUCCUAUUUAAUACCUUGUACGAGCUCUGGCUCUUCCUUCACCAGCCACAACCCCCACUAAGGUGAGAGUAGCGAGUACACCCUGAGGGAAGAUGUGACUGGCAUUGACAUCAAACUCAACCCUCCCACCAGAAGCACUGGGCACACAAAAUCUACAUAAUGAUGCUUUCACAUAAGAACACCCCUUCAGGACCAAAGUAGGUAACUAUUCCACCUAAAUUUAUAGAGACAGAGAAAGUUAAAUAAAACAAAAAGGUAGAGAACUACUCCCAAUUGAAAGAGCAAGAGAACCCCCCCAAAAUAAACAGAUAACAAGUCUUCCAGACAAUGAAUUCAAAAUAUUGGUAAUAAAAAUGCUAACUGAAUUGGGAAAGAUAAUUCCUCUAACCACAGAUUAUUUUAGCAGGGAACUAGAAAAUGUGAAAAGACACAAACAAAAAUAGAGAAUUCAAUAUCUGAGAUAAAAAGCACUCUAGAAGCAAUGAAUAGAACACCAAAUGACACAGAAAAAUACAUAGGUGAUCUGGAAAACAGAAUAAUGGUAAUCACCCAACCAAAACAGCCAAAAGAGAGACAAAAAUAAAUAAAGUGACAAAUGAGAUCUCUGGUAAAACAUAAAACAUGCUGACAAUCAUAUUUUAGGGGUCCCAGAAGGUGAAGAGAGAGAAAAGGGGAUUGAAAAUGUAUUUGAAGGAAUUAUGGAUCAAAACUUCCCUAUCCUAAAGAAGGAAACAGAUAUUGAGGUUCAGGAAGCAUAGAGGAUAUGAAAGAAGAUUAACUCAGACAGAUCAAGAACAAGACAUAUAAUAAUGACAAGAGUUAAAAACAAAUAGAGAACCCUAAGGGCAACAAGAGAAAGACAAAAAUCAUAUCCAAGAGAUUCCCUAUAAGGCUACUGUCAGAUUAUUCUGAAGAAACUUUUCAGAACAGAAGGGAAUGGAAUGAUAUAUUCAAAGUCAUAAAGGGAAAAACCUGCAACCUAGGAUAGGCUACUAAGAAAGAUUAUCAUUUAGAAAAUAAGGAGAGAUAUAGAAGUUCUCAGAUAAGGAAAAACUAAAAGAAAUUAGCACUAGUAAACCUACCCCCCAAAAUAAUGUUGAAGGGUCUUUUCUAAAUGGAAAAGAAGUAAGAAUCCAUACGAAAGAGAUAAUCACAAUGGAAAUGGCAAAUGUAAAGUAAGGACUGAAGUUCACUUUUUUCCCCUUAAGAUCACUUAGGUAAGACAUUGAUUAAAAGAUGAAAAAAACCCAGUAAUUGCAAAAGCAACUGUAACUUCAAUAAACAGUAAAAAUAUAAGCAUGAACAUGUAAAAUAUGCUAUCCAAACCAUAAAAUAUAUGGAGUCCCCACUGUGGUGCAGGGGAAUUGGCAGUGUCUCUAGAGUGCUGGGACGCAGGUUUGAUCCCCGGCCUGGCAUAGUGAGCUAGGGAUCUGGCAUUGCUGUAGUUGAGGUGGAGGUUGCAAUUAGAGCUCGGAUCUGAUCCCUGGCCUGGGAACUCCAAAUGCUGUAGAGUGUCCAAACAACAACAACAACAAGAAACCCACAAAAUAUGGAAGAGAGGAAUAAAAAAGGAAAGUCUUAGAGUUCCUGUUGUGGCUCAGCAGGUUAAGAACCCGACUAGUGCCCGUGAGGACGUGGGUUCAAUUCCUGGCUUUGUUCAGUGGGUUAAGGAUCCAGUGUCGUCACAAAAUGCAGUGCAGGAGUUCCCUUCAUGGCUCAGCAGUUAACGAACUGACUAGGAUCCAUGAGGUUGCGGAUUCAAUCCCUGGCCUCAGUGGGUUAAGGAUCCAGUGUUACCAUGAGCUGCAGUGUCGGUCGCAAACAUGACUCAGAUCUGGUGUUGCUGUGGCUGUGGUAUAGGCUGGCAGCUGUAGCUCCAAUUCAAUCCCUAGACUGGGAACUUCCAUAUGCCACAAGUGCGGCCAUAAAAAACAAACAAACAAAGCAUAGGUCACAGAUGUAGCAUAUGUGGCAUAGUUCUGGCAACUGCAGCAAAGAUUCAACCUCUAUCAACAAAAAAAUAAUUUCCAAAAUAUACAUAUAUCUCAUGCAGCUUAAUAUAAAACAAACAAUCCAAUCAAAAAAAAGAAAUGGGCAGAAGAUCUAAAUAGCUGUUUCUCCAAAGAAGACAUCCAGAUGGCCAAAAGGCACAUGAAAAGAUGCUCAAAUAUUGCUAGUUAUUAGAGAAAUACAAACCAAAAAUCCAGUGAGGUUUCAUCUCACACCAGUCAGAAUAGCCAUCAUCAAAAAGUCUCUAAGUGCCAGAGAGGGUGUGGAGGAAAAGGAGCCUUCUUACACUGUUAGUGGGAAUGUAAACUGGUAUAACUACUAUGGAGAACAAUAUGAAGACUCCAUAUAAAACUAAAAAUAGGAGUUCCCGUCGUGGCAUAGUGGUUAACAAAUCCGACUAGGAACCAUGAGGUUGCAGGUUCGAUCCCUGGCCUUGCUCAGUGGGUUAGGGAUCCGGCAUUGCUGUGAGCUGUGGUGUGGGUCACAGACGCAGCUCAGAUCCCACGUUGCUGUGGCUCUGGCAUAGGCCAGUGGCUGCAGCUCCAAUUCGACCCCUAGCCUGGGAACCUCCAUAUGCUGCGGCCCUAGAAAAGGCAAAAAGACAAAAAACAAAACAAAACAAAAAAACUAAAAAUAGAGCUGCCUAUGAUCCAGCAAUCCCACUCCAGGGCAUAUACCCAGACAAAAUUCCAAUUCGAAAAGAUACCUGCAGCCCAAUGUUCACUGCAGCACUAUUUACAAUAGCCAAGACAUGGAAGCAACCCAAAUGUCCAUCAACAGAUGAAUAAAUAAGGGAGAUGUCGUAUGUGUACACAAUUGAAUACUGCACAGCCAUAAAAGAGGAAUGAAAUAAUGCCAUCUGCAGCAACAUGGAUGGACUUAAAAGUUGUCACAUUUAGUGAAAUAAGUCACAGGAACACAAAUAACAUAUGAUAUAAACUAUAUGUGGAAUAUAAAAAAAUGAUAUGAAUGAACUUAUUUAUAAAACAGAAAUAAACUCGCAGACAUAGAAAACAAACAUGGCUACCAAAAGGGACAGCACACUGGGGGAACUAUAUUCAAUGUCUUGUAAUAACCUAUAAUGGAAAAGAACCUGAAAAAAUAUAUAUAACUGAAUCACUUUGCUGUACACUUGUAACUAAUAUGACAUUAUAAAUUAACUAUACUUCAAUUUUAAAAAUAGUUAAAAUAUAUGUAGAUGUACCACAGCAAGAACAACAAUUAAAAAAAUUGACUUCUCUUCCACAAAGAAAUAUGUAGGCAGGACCCUAGGUGGCGAUAUGAAUCUGCAAAUCAGAUCUUCAGCCAGUAAAGAAAACUUACUAGUCCAGGUAAAGUAGUUUUGAGAGGACAAUCGGGAUAUCUACAUUAAACAAAC
rnacentral:lncRNA from 1 species